AUACUUACCUGGCAGGGGAGACACCAUGAUCAGGCAGGUGGUUUUCCCAGGGCGAGGCUCAUCCCCUGCACUCCGGGUGUGCUGACCCCUGCGAUUUCCCCAAAUGCNNNN
rnacentral:snRNA from 1 species